rnacentral:rRNA from 1 species
UGUCAGGAGUUAUGAAAUGCGGUUGGCAGAAUACGCCGGCCGUUUGACAAAGGCUCCAGAGGAAGCCACGGCUAACUUCGUGCCAGCAGCCGCGGUAACACGAAGGUGGCGAGCGUUGUUCGGAAUUAUUGGGCAUAAAGGGCACGUAGGCGGAGGGAUCAGUCGGACGUGAAAGCCCCCGGCUCAACCGGGGAAUUGCUUCCGAUACUGCCUCUCUGGAGUGCAGGAGGGGAGAGUGGAACUUCUGGUA